GACCUCGGAUCAGGUAGGAAUACGCGCUGAACUUAAGCAUAUCAAUAAGCGGAGGA
rnacentral:rRNA from 5 species